ensembl:lncRNA novel transcript
GGCAACCCGCUGGGGUCUCCUUCCACAGUGUGGAAGCUUUGUUCUUUCAGUCUUUGCAAUAAAUCUUGCUACUGCUCACUCUUUGGGUCCACACUGCUUUUAUGAGCUGUAACACUCACCGCGAAGAUCUGCAGCUUCUCUCCUGAAGCCAGUGAGACCACGAGCCCACCAGGAGGAACGAACAACUCCAGACGUGCUGCCUUAAGAGCUGUAACACUCACAGCGAAGGUCUGCAGCUUCACUCCUGAGGCAGCGAGACCAUGAACCCACCAGAAGGAAGAAACUCCGAACACAUUUGAGCAUCAGAAGGAACAAACUCCAGACACGCCACCUUAAGAGCUGUAACACUCACCGCCAGGGCCGCAGCUUCAUUCUUGAAGUUCCUGGAGAUGGAGCCCUAGCCAGGGACCAUGCCCUUCCCGUUUCCAUAUCAUUUAAAGGGACCAUGCCUUUCUCUACCCAGCACAGCGACCGAAUUUCUUAGCUCCUUAUGCUCCUGAGCUGUGUGGUAUCUGAUUUCCUCAUUUGCUGGCUGGAGGAUGAAAGCAGGGCCAAGUAAGAAGACCUGGAAGUGCCAAAAAUUGUUGGCCUUUCAAUGUAUCUUCAGAUGCAGUAAAGCGGGAAAAGAUCUCCUGAGGUUCUUUUUAUAUGGAUACUUACAUCUUUUAUAAGGGCUCUAUGAUCAUUACCUAAUCACAUCCCAAGGCUCUACUUCUUAAUACCCUCACAUUACAGGUGUAGGAUUUUUGACAUAUAAAUUUUGGGGAGACACACUUUGUCCACUGAAGGCCCCAGUCAGGUGAUUUAAAUUUGGAAGAUAUACUGAAUGAUCUGAUUUACUCAAUUGGAAGGGAGAUUAUCCUAGGUGGGCCUGAAUAAAUCAGGUGAAAAAUUUGUCAAAAACACCUUAGUCUCUCUUUGGAGAGAGACUACUUGUGGACAUCAACUAAAAUAUUAGAAGGUUAUUUAUUUUAAGUAAUAAAUAAUUAAAGGCAUCUAUAAA